ACCAGGAUGGCCGAGUGGUUAAGGCGUUGGACUUAAGAUCCAAUGGACGAAUUGUCCACGUGGGUUCGAACCCCACUCCUGGUA
rnacentral:tRNA from 1 species